rnacentral:rRNA from 1 species
GAUGAACGCUGGCGGCGUGCCUAACACAUGCAAGUCGAGCGAGAAGUUUGAAAAAUGAGUUUUCGAACAAGUGAUUCAAACGGAAAGCGGCGGACGGGUGAGUAACGCGUAGGCAACCUGCCCCGUGCAGAGGGACAGCCUCGGGAAACCGGGAUUAAGACCUCAUGAUAUCGGGUUAUCACAUGGUAAUCCGGUCAAAGAUUUAUCGGCAUGGGAUGGGCCUGCGUCUGAUUAGCUGGUUGGUGGGGUAACGGCCUACCAAGGCGACGAUCAGUAGCAGAACUGAGAGGUUCAUCUGCCACAUUGGAACAGAGACACGGUCCAACCUCCUACGGGAGGCAGCAGUGAGGAAUAUUGCACAAUGGGCGAAAGCCUGAUGCAGCAACGCCGCGUGAGCGAAGAAGGCCUUUGGGUCGUAAAGCUCUGUCCUUGGGGAAGAAACAAAUGACGGUACCCUUGGAGGAAGCCCCGGCUAACUACGUGCCAGCCGCCGCGGUAA